rnacentral:rRNA from 1 species
CCGCGGAGGGAUGCGGCCUUCGGGUUGUAACCUCUUUUACCAGGGAGAAGCGAAAGUGCCGGUCCUGCAGAAAAAGCGCCGGCUAACUACGUGCCAGCAGCCGCGGUAAUACGUAGGGCGCAAGCGUUAUCCGGAAUUAUUGGGCGUAAAGAGCUCGUAGGCGGUUUGUCGCGUCUGCUGUGAAAUCCCGAGGCUCAACCUCGGGCCUGCAGUGGGUACGGGCAGACUAGAGUGCGGUAGGGGAGAUUGGAAUUCCUGGUGUAGCGGUGGAAUGCGCAGAUAUCAGGAGGAACACCGAUGGCGAAGGCAGAUCUCUGGGCCGUAACUGACGCUGAGGAGCGAAAGGGUGGGGAGCAAACAGGCUUAGAUACCCUGGUAGUCCACCCCGUAAACGUUGGGAACUAGUUGUGGGGUCCAUUCCACGGAUUCCGUGACGCAGCUAACGCAUUAAGUUCCCCGCCUGGGGAGUACGGCCGCAAGGCUAAAACUCAAAGGAAUUGACGGGGACCCGCACAAGCGGCGGAGCAUGCGGAUUAAUUCGAUGCAACGCGAAGAACCUUACCAAGGCUUGACAUAUACGAGAACGGGCCAGAAAUGGUCAACUCUUUGGACACUCGUAAACAGGUGGUGCAUGGUUGUCGUCAGCUCGUGUCGUGAGAUGUUGGGUUAAGUCCCGCAACGAGCGCAACCCUCGUUCUAUGUUGCCAGCACGUAAUGGUGGGAACUCAUGGGAUACUGCCGGGGUCAACUCGGAGGAAGGUGGGGAUGACGUCAAAUCAUCAUGCCCCUUAUGUCUUGGGCUUCACGCAUGCUACAAUGGCCGGUACAAAGGGCUGCAAUACCGUGAGGUGGAGCGAAUCCCAAAAAGCCGGUCCCAGUUCGGAUUGAGGUCUGCAACUCGACCUCAUGAAGUCGGAGUCGCUAGUAAUCGCAGAUCAGCAACGCUGCGGUGAAUACGUUCCCGGGUCUUGUACACACCGCCCGUCAAGUCAUGAAAGUCGGUAACACCUGAAGCCGGUGGCCUAACCCUUGUGGAGGGAGCCGUAGGA